GAAUCUACUGGUACCUUGUUUCCCAUGUAACAAUAAGAAAUAUACUCAAAACCUGGAUUAAUCUUUUUAGUCACAUAGCACUACUAUUAUUCUGAACACUACUGUACUCGCACACAUGUAUAUGACCCUCUAAGAUUUGUGUCGCUGUUUCACUUCUGUCAGUGUGGAAGCAGUGAGGAAGGCUGCCCACUCAAGUUCUGGGAUGAACAAGUAGAUAUUUUCUAUUUUAGAGAACUGAACCUGGAUCAGGUCUGUGUUGUCCUCUGUGGUCUGUCCGCAGAGCGCCAAGCAGCAGGACCUGGAAUCUGGACCAGGUGUAGCGAUGGAGACCAGUAGCUACAACAACAUCCCUCCAAAUCAAACUGAAAUAUUCAAGUGUGGUUUAAAUAUGAAACACUUUGGACAAAAAUUCAGAGUCUGCGAGUCCAUCAAUAAUGGACUCAUUACAUCAUCCACAGCAACGGUGUUAAUUCCGCCCUUUUUCCUUUGUGUUCUCUCUUUGAGUCAAGGUUCCUCUCUGAGGACUCAAGAUGAAACUCUUGGAAAUAAAGGACUCACUCUGCUGAGACAGGAGUCUUCAAAAAACACAGACCCAGACCUGGAAAGCAGAAAUAAACAAAAGAAGUCCAUACUGUGUGGGAUCAGAAGCUGAGAACUCUAUCCAGAUUGGCGAUUGGGUGCUGAUAAAGACCAUUAAGAAGAAGAACUGGUCAUCUCCAAACUGGGAAGGUCCGUUCCAAGUGCUGCUGACCACCCCCACUGCAGUCAAAAUCGCAGAAAGGUCAUCUUGGGUGCACUGCAAAAGACAAGGAUAUCUGAAAGAUACUGAACCAAACAAAGGAGACAACGCGUGAAGGUGUUGGCUGAUGACCUGUAUAGGUCCAGUAAUGGGUGGAAGCACGUCUGUCCCUCCGUAGAAUCAAAAUGACAGCCCAAGAGAACAUGACCAGAGUGUGAUCAAGGAUGAGAUGAAGAUAAAGCCGAACCAGACAAGAAAUCAAAGCCAAUCCAGGGUCCUGACGCAGACUAGUUGCUCGAGGAGAGAAGCAGACGAGAAACCAGUUAAAAACUGAGGAGAAUCCUAUACAAGCCAGGAUGAGAAGUAGACGGACUACAAGCUUGAAAUAGAGCAAAGAAGUAGACGUGACCAGACCAGGAAGAGAAGCAGAUAUUCUGUUCCGAAGGAACAGGGCGCCUGAAGUAAAACACUUUUAGUCCCAUGCAACAUAUACCAUACUGAUAUAAGCCUCAUUCACCCAAAAAGCCCAGAACUGCUGAAGUGAGAUUCUGAACUGUCACCAAAGAAAGAAGACAUCUACCCCCCCCCAAGCAUAGAACUGUUGGAUGGAAGAGAGAGAGAGAGAGAGAGAGA